ensembl:ncRNA lncRNA:CR43419 long non-coding RNA:CR43419
GCAGGCCAGGGCCAACUGUUCAUUCAUCAACCUUUAAUCAACAUUACCUCCGACAAGAAAAAUAAAACAAGAGCAAGAGCCCGAAAAAGUGCUGCACAACAGCCGGAGGAGAUGGCAGAGGGGAGCAGCAUCGUCUAACCUACAUAAAAACUAGCAAAAACAAAGCCAAAAAUAUCCUGCAAGAUGAACAAAAGCCUUGGGAGGACCGAAAGCUCUUUAACGGCCUUUGUUUGCACUUAACUGUAAAAGGACCAAGGACCGGGUAAUAUCUUGUUGCUGCCCGGCCUGAACUUGCUGACCAGGUCAGCUCAUCAUGCUUGUAGUUCAGUUCCCCAGUACUUGCUCCACUCGGACACUUGAAACUUUAUGCUAAAAUACAGUUCAGCGAUUCACAGAUUACACUGGAGCAUCCUUAGCUCCUGCGCACGGACAGGACAUGAAAAAGCGUCGACUGUAAAUAAUGCUGGAUAAUUAUUUAGUUUGUUUUACCACCACCCACCCCUGCACUCCCAAACUCCCACAACACCGGAAGACCGGAACUUUACGCCACUUUACGGCGAAUCAAAACAAACUGGGCAGGACAGGACUGCGGCUGUCAGAUUUUAUGUCUUCGGCUCCUCAGAUAUUUUCACAUCAUAAAGAAAAAAAAAAAAUGGAAAGGACGCGCAGAUGAAAGUACUUCUGUGCGACGGCUCGCCGUUUAUUUAUUGCGCCUAUUUUGCGGUUUAGCGGUUUUAUGGCCACUUUAGGCCUUUGUUUUCCCGCCCGCAGCGAACCGUGUAAUUAUCUGCCUUAGCAGCGACUAAUUAGCUCGGCCCUGGCCUUUUGUUGUUGCCACGAUUGUACCCAGCUGCAACUUUGGCGCAAGUACUCAUUAAAGUUGGCCCAAACGCGGCCGGAUAAAUCAGCGUCACUUUUAAAUGUGGCCCAAAGUAAAUGGCCUACGGCGUUUGCCAGAAUUCACGGAAAUAUAUGUGUAGAUAAAAGCCAUCCGAAACAGGGCCCACAGUGUGGCGCUAAUUGAAAAUCCCUUCAAAUCCCAGACGAGCUGGCGAAACGAAAAUAGAUUGUCGUGCAUUGCGUACGAGAAAACGCAUUUGCAUUGGCCUGCGAAAUGCGGAGUGGCAAAAAUAACCGAAUGGCCAAAGCCACUUAACGCUCGUUCGCAAAAUCCAUUAAGUGCCCCGAGUUUUGUUGAAAUUUUAUUAUAUUCUCUGCGAUUUUUUCAAGCAAUAAAAUGGUCCUAAUUGGCUUAGGCAGCGAUUAAAAGCCAGCUAAGAAUU